rnacentral:sRNA from 12 species
AGAGUAGUACAAUAAGGCCUAGUGCCUCUAGACCUACGUAGUGGGUCGUCCUCCGUGCAAAACACCUGCUGGUGGUUGUCCAUAAGCUUCUGUUUAUAGCGGUGAGAAUCGGAGCUUAGGGAUUGACUAUUCG